AAGUCGUAACAAGGUUUCCGUAGGUGAACCUGCGGAAGGAUCAUUAAUAAAUAAAAUUAAAAAAAUAUUUAUUAAUAAAUAUUAAAAAUUAGCUUGUAAAUUUUUAUUAUAGUAAUAUAAUUUAAAUUUCAAGUUAUAUAAUUUAAAAUAUGAAAUUUUUAUAUUUAUUUAUAAAGAUUGAAAUAUUUUAAAUUAAAGUAUAUAUGUUGAUUUUUGUUUAUAAUUUAUUAUAAACAUAAAUUUAUAUAUACAUAAAUAGAUAUAGUAACAUAAAAAUUACAUAAUUUAUAUAUAUUAAAAAGUUGAUUUACGUUAAAGAUAUACAUUUAUUUUAAUAAAAUUAAAAUAUAACUUUUAACAAUGGAUCUCUUGGCUCUU
rnacentral:misc_RNA from 1 species